UACGUAGGCAGCGAGCGUUGUUCGGAGUUACUGGGCGUAAAGGGUGUGUAGGCGGUUUUCUAAGUCUGGGGUGAAAUCUCACGGCUCAACUGGGAGGGUGCGCCGAAAACUGGAAGGCUAGAGUACUGGAUGGGUAAGUGGAAUUCCUGGUGUAGCGGUGAAAUGCGUAGAUAUCAGGAGGAAUACCGGUGGCGAAGGCGGCAUCCUGGACCGACAUUGACGCUGAGGAGCGAAAGCUAGGGGAGCAAACGGG
rnacentral:rRNA from 1 species